UUGUCACGUGGCGCCCUUUGCUACUCCCAUUGCUAGCGCUGACGCUCUUAGCAACCGGCUGGCUGCCCAGUUUCCAAGGACGCUCGCGCCUCCAACUUGCGGCCUCUAGAGGCGUGCCUAGGACCCUGACUCCGGAAUCCAGCUUCGCUCAGCCCCCACCAGACCCGGACUAAGAGCCGCUAGCAGCCCAAGAUGAGCAGCAAUGAUGCCUCCCUCUUGGCUAGGAUCAUUUACUAUAGCCAGGAAAAGUAUUUCCACCACGUACAACAGGCUGCAGUCAUGGGCUUGGAGAAAUUCAACAAUGACCCUGUGUUACAGUUCUUUAAAGCCUAUGGAGUCCUCAAGGAAGAGCGCAUCCGAGAUGCCAUCAGCGACCUGGAGAACAUCCAGAAUCACCCAGACACGUCCCUGUGCUCUAUCAUGGCCCUUAUUUAUGCCCACAAAUGCUGUGAAACCACUGACCGAGAAGCAAUUCAGGAGCUAGAGGGUAGCCUGAAGGAAUUACGCAAGAAGGCCAGCGAUACUGCCCUGUACUAUGCCAGCCUCUUCCUCUGGCUCAUGGGCCGCCAUGACAAGGCCAGAGAGUACAUUGACCGCAUGCUGAAGGUCUUUUACGGCUCCAGAGAAGUACCCACCACAAGCAUCAUGAGGGCAACAGCUGAAGAUAGCAGCAUUCAGGCGCUUCAGAGCAGGUGCCUUGUGCUCAGAGGCUGGGUGGACCUCACCUCCGACAAGCCCCACAUUGUGAAGAAAGCCAUCAAGUACUUGGAACAAGGAGUGCAGAACAACAAAGAUGUGCUGGGGCUGAUGGGAAAGGCAACAUACUUCAUGAUGCAGCAGAACUACUCAGAGGCCCUGGAGGUAGUGAACCAGAUCACUGUGGCCUCAGGGAACUUCUUGCCAGCCCUAACCCUGAAGAUGCAGCUGUUCUUGGCCCGGCAGGACUGGGAGCAGACAGUAGAAACAGGACACAGAAUCCUCGAAAGGGAUGAAACCAAUAUUGAUGCCUGCCAAAUUCUAGCUGUGCAUGAGCUUACAAGAGAAGGAAACAUGGCUGCAGCUGCUGAUCAUGUUAAAAAUCUGAUUAAAGCGCUAGAGAUGAGAGAGCCCCAAAAUCCAAACCUCCAUCUUAAAAAAAUUCUCGUGAUUGGCAGACUGUGUGGGAAGCAUCAGGCGAUUCUACAGCAAGUGUAUAGCUUCCUGGAGCGAAUCUUCAUGACCACAUCUUCCUACGCCUGUGCAGCCACAGAGCUGGGCUAUCUCUACAUCCUGCGAAACCAAGUGAAGGAGGCAUUGCAGUGGUAUUCAGAGGGCAUGAGACUGAACCAGAGUGGUGUGGCUGUUCUGACAGGGAUUAUCUGGUGCCAGAUCUUAGAAGGACACCUGGAGGAGGCUGAGCACCAGCUGGAAUUCCUGAAGGAAGUACAGCAGUCCCUUGGGAAGUCUGAGGUGCUGAUUUUCCUCCAAGCCCUUCUAGCAUCUAAGAAGCACAAGGGGGAGCAGGAGACCACAGCGCUCCUGAAAGAAACAGUAGAGCUUCACUUCUCCAGCAUGCAGGGCCUCCCCCUGGGCUCCGAGUACUUUGAAAAGCUGGACCCCCACUUCCUGGUCUACAUUGCCAAGGAGUACCUGCUCUUCUGCCCCAAACAGCCCCGGUCACCAGGCCAGAUCGUGUCUCCACUUCUUAAACAAGUCACUGUGAUCUUGAAUCCUGUAGUCAAAGCAGCACCAGCCCUGGUUGACGCCCUAUAUGUGAUGGCUCAGGUCAAGUAUCUCUCAGGGGAGCUAGAGAAUGCCCAGAGCACCCUGCAGCGUUGCAUAGAGCUGGAACCCUCCUCCGUCGACGCCCACCUCCUCAUGGCCCAGAUCUACUUGACUCAAGGCAACUUUGCCAUGUGCUCCCACAGCUUAGAGCUGGGUGUCAGCCACAACUUCCAGGUCCGAGACCACCCCCUCUACCACUUCAUCAAGGCCAAGGCCCUUAACAAGACUGGAGACUAUCCAGAGGCAAUAAAGACCCUGAAAAUGAUCAUGAAAUUGCCAACUCUGAAGACUGAAGCAGGCAAGAAGUUACGUGGGCUGUCUGUGCGGCCCAGUGAGCGGGUAUCCAUCCUACUGGAAUUGGUAGAUGCCCUCCGACUGAAUGGGGAGCUGCAUGAGGCCACAAAAGUCAUGCAGGAUGCCAUCAACGAGUUCAGCGGCACUCCAGAAGAGAUCCGCAUUACCAUCGCCAAUGUGGACUUGGCCCUGAGCAAGGGCAAUGUGGACAUGGCUCUGAGCAUGCUGAGGAACAUCACACCCAAGCAGCCCUGCUACAUGGAAGCCAAGGAGAAGAUGGCCAGCAUCUACCUGCAGACUCGCAAAGACAUCCGCCUCUACAUUGGAUGCUACCGUGAGCUCUGUGAACAUCUGCCUGGCCCCCACACCAGCCUGCUACUGGGUGAUGCUUUUAUGAACAUUCAGGAGCCCGAGAAGGCCCUAGAGAUCUACGAUGAGGCCUAUAGAAAGAACCCACACGAUGCCUUCCUGGUCAGCAGGAUUGGGCAAGCAUAUGUGAAGACCCACCAGUAUACCAAGGCAAUUAAUUAUUAUGAGGCUGCCCAGAAGAUUAGUGGACAGGACUUUCUGUGCUGUGAUCUGGCUGAACUGCUCCUCAAGUUAAAGAAGUUCAACAAAGCAGAAAAAGUCUUGAAGCAGGCACUGGAACAUGAAUUUGCAGCCAAAGACAUCCCAUCCGUGAUGAAUGAUGUUAAGUGCUUACUUUUGCUGGCAAAGGUUUACAAGAGCCAGAAAAAAGAAGAUGUGAGGGAAACUUUGAACAAGGCUUUGGACCUCCAGUCUCGGAUACUGAAGCGUGUUCCACUAGAACAACCAGAAAUUAUCCCCUCCCAGAAGCAACUGGCUGCUUCCAUCUGCCUUCAGUUUGGAGAGUACUACCUGGCAGAGAAAGAUUAUGCCAAAGCAGAGAAGGCUUAUAAGGAUGCCCUUUCCUACUCACCUACUGACAAUAAGGUAAUGCUGGAGCUAGCAAAGCUCUACCUGCUUCAGGGGCACCUGGAUCUGUGUGAGCAGCAUUGUGCCAUCCUCCUGCAGACUGAAAAGAAUCACGAGACCACCUCUGUGAUGAUGGCUGACCUACUGUUUAGAAAACAGAAUUAUGAAGCGGCCAUCAAUCUCUACCACCAAGUUCUGGAGAAAGCACCAGACAAUUUUUCGGUAUUGAGUAAAUUAAUCGAUCUGCUACGAAGAAGUGGCAAACUUGAAGAAGCUCCUGCCUUCUUUGAAUUGGCCAAGAAGGCAUCCAGCCGGGUGCCUUUGGAGCCUGGGUUCAACUACUGCAGAGGCAUCUACUGCUGGCACAAAGGGCAGCCCAACGAAGCCUUGAAGUUCUUAAACAAAGCACGAAAGGACAGCUCUUGGGGCCAGAGAGCCACCUACUACAUGGUGCAGAUCUGUCUGAACCCAGAUAAUGAGAUUAUGGGCGGAGAGGUUUUUGAGAACCUGGUGGCUCAGAGCAACUCCACCGACAGGAAGGAGAUAGAGCAACAUGGCGUGCGCACUGCGGAGAAGCUGCUGAGGGACUUCUACCCUCACACAGCCUUGGGCCAGACCCAGCUGCAGCUACUGCAUGGCCUCUGCCUGCUGGCCUCCAGGGAGAAGGCCAACAUGGAGGCAGCGCUGGGCACCUUCAUCGAGAUGGUGCAGGCUGAGAAGGACUGCAUUCCUGCCCUGCUGGCCCUGUCGCAGGCCUACCUGCUCCUGAAGCAGAUCCCUAAGGCACGCACGCAGCUGAAGCGCCUGGCCAAGGCCCCGUGGAUGCUGGCUGAGGCUGAGGAUCUGGAAAAGAGUUGGCUCCUGCUGGCAGACAUCUACUGCCAGGGUGGCAAGUUUGACCUGGCCUCAGAGCUGCUGCGGCGCUGCCUGCAGUACAACAAGGCGAGGGGCGCAGUGAGGGCAGCUGGGGGGUGGUGAGGGUGGGGGAGGAGGGUGCCACUGGAGGUGUGCCAGGGAGUAUGCAGGAUCUGGGGAGGAAGGAGAUGCAAAAUAGGAACCAUACGGGAAGAAGUGUGACCAGAGGGGCAUAUGGGUGAUAGAUGAGGACAGGAAAUUGGGAGCUCAGGCACACAGGAGUCAUGCCCAGAGGAGGAAACACAAUUACAGAAAGAGAUGGGAAAGAUUUGUGGGGGCUGGCCAGGAAGGUCAUUGGCAGGUCAACGCACACUAUGAACCUCUCCCAGAAGGGCUGCUCAGAAAGGGGUUAUGCCAGCAUUGGGGUAGCCAAGUUGGAGGUGGCACUGUUCACCCCUUGCAAAGGUGGGGGUGCCCUGGGAUCCCUUUGCGGUUUGGUUUAAUGCAGCUCACCGCCAUCCCUUGCCCCCUUCUGGUCCUGGUCCCUCCCUGGCACCUGGACCAGCUGCAGCUAGUCCUCCACAGAAGUUCUGACCGGCUUUCCCUGCAGUCCUGCUGCAAGGCCUAUGAGUAUAUGGGCUUCAUCAUGGAGAAGGAGCAGUCCUACAAGGACGCAGCCACCAACUACGAGCUGGCCUGGAAGUACAGUCAUCAGGCCAACCCUGCCAUUGGUUUCAAACUCGCUUUCAACUACUUGAAGGACAAGAAAUUUGUAGAGGCCAUUGAAAUCUGCCACAAUAUCCUCUCAGAGCACCCCAACUAUCCUAAGAUCAGAAAGGAAAUUUUGGAAAAGGCCCAAGGGUCCCUGAGGCUCUAGCUGUGGUUAGAGGGGCCUUGGCCAGCAGAAGCCAUCAACCUGCUGAAGUUGUGUGGAGGGGUGAUAAGAGGCAUCCCAGAGCUAAAGAAGCAACUGCUGCUCCCUACCAUGCUACCCACUGAGUCUGCCUGGCAGUGGGCCCAGACAGGAGGACCAGCUGCAGAAGGCCCACACAGCAGAGGCCCUGUGUAAGAGGGCCUGCAGGUUGCAAGGGCCAUUGUCUAACAUCGUCCAUACAUCUGUCUCCCCUUCCCCCCUCUCCCAGUCUUCGGCCAGCUUUUGCUGGUCUUUAACGGUUUGGGACAAACCUGUUUACCCUUGCCUGGCACAGAAAGGUACAUGCCAAGAAAAAAUAGUCUACACUUCAGCUUUUGUAAAAGACAUUGGCCAACUAAUUCAUCCUCCAGAAACCCUUUUAAUGCCUAAGGGGGCAAAUGCAGUGGUCCCUAUUUAGAUGAAUAAUAUUAAUUGCAACUAGCAAGAGGAUGACAAAGGUCACCUUUUCUGUGCUCCAAAUACACUCUUCCUGUUUUUCAGGAUGGCAAUAAUGGGCCAGUCUGGCUUCAGGGGAAGGAAUUCUGAAAUGGGAACCAGGAGGCCUUAGGCUCGCCCCAUGAGACCUUCUCAAAUCUCUUCCCUUCUCUGGGUCUCAGUGUCCCCAUCGGUGGCAGGAAAUUAGCUUUGUUUCCCAAAUCUUGGUGCAACUCUCUGCCAGUGAUAUACAGCAAACAUUUUAUUUAAAGUUUAACAGCUAGCUGUGAAUCUAUACAUCAUUUUUGUAUAAUGGAGGAAAACUAGUACAACAAACUCAGGGAUUCAUAGGAUGGGUUAAACUUUUAAACAUACCAAUACAAUUGAUUUAAAGAAAAAUACUUAGGUCCAGGUACGGUAUAAUCCCAGCACUUUGGAAGGCAGAGGGGACACUUUGGGAGGAUUUACUCGAGCCCAGGAGUUUGAGGUUGCAGUGAGCUAUAAUUGUGUCACUGCACUCAGUAGAGAAGGGAUUGAGAAAAUGACAUAUUCUUCCCUGUUUCUGUACUGUUUGGGACAAACCUGUUUACCCUUGGCUGGCACAGAAAGGUACAUGCCAAGAAAAAAGAAAAACAAACAAAAAAGAACAAAGAAAAAUAUGAAUAGGAUGGGUAGAAUGUAGAUAUGAGCA